CCUACGGGAGGCAGCAGUGGGGAAUAUUGGACAAUGGGCGCAAGCCUGAUCCAGCAAUACCGCGUGUGUGAAGAAGGCCUGAGGGUUGUAAAGCACUUUCAAUUGGGAGGAAAACCUGUCGGCCAAUACCCGGCAGCUUGACAUUACCUUUAGAAGAAGCACCGGCUAACUCCGUGCCAGCAGCCGCGGUAAUACGGAGGGUGCGAGCGUUAAUCGGAAUUACUGGGCGUAAAGCGUGCGUAGGCGGUUAUUUAAGUCAGAUGUGAAAGCCCCGGGCUUAACCUGGGAACUGCAUUUGAUACUGGGUAACUAGAGUUUAGUAGAGGAGAGUGGAAUUUCAGGUGUAGCGGUGAAAUGCGUAGAGAUCUGAAGGAACACCAGUGGCGAAGGCGACUCUCUGGACUAAAACUGACGCUGAGGUACGAAAGCGUGGGUAGCAAACAGGAUUAGAUACCCUGGUAGUCCACGCCGUAAACGAUGUCAACUAGCCGUUGGGCCUUUUAACAGGCUUAGUGGCGCAGCUAACGCAUUAAGUUGACCGCCUGGGGAGUACGGCCGCAAGGUUAAAACUCAAAUGAAUUGACGG
rnacentral:rRNA from 1 species